AACGAACGCUGGCGGCAUGCCUAACACAUGCAAGUCGAACGAGACCUUCGGGUCUAGUGGCGCACGGGUGCGUAACGCGUGGGAAUCUGCCCUUGGGUUCGGAAUAACAGUUGGAAACGACUGCUAAUACCGGAUGAUGACGUAAGUCCAAAGAUUUAUCGCCCAAGGAUGAGCCCGCGUAGGAUUAGCUAGUUGGUGAGGUAAAGGCGCACCAAGGCGACGAUCCUUAGCUGGUCUGAGAGGAUGAUCAGCCACACUGGGACUGAGACGCGGCCCAGACUCCUACGGGAGGCAGCAGUGGGGGAUAUUGGACUAUGGGCGAAAGCAUGAUCCAGCUAUGCCGCGUGAGUGAUGAAGGCCUUAGAGUUGUAAAGCUCUUUUACCCGGGAUGAUAAUGACGGUACCGGGAGAAUAAGCACCGGCUAACUCCGUG
rnacentral:rRNA from 1 species